CCCUUAGAUGUUCUGGGCCGCACGCGCGCUACACUGAUGCAUUCAACGAGUUUCUUCCUGGUCCGAGAGGAAUGAGUAACCUUUUGAAAGUGCAUCGUGAUAGGGAUAGACUAUUGCAAUUAUUGGUCUUCAACGAGGAAUUCCUAGUAGACGUAGUUCAUCAGACUGCAUCGAUUACGUCCCUGCCCUUUGUACACACCGCCCGUCGCUCCUACCGAUUGAAUGCUCAGGUGAGCCAUUCGGACUUUCAUCAUGCUGGUUUCCAGUUUUGAUGAAGGAAAGUCUUGCGAACCUUAUCAUUUAGAGGAAGGAGAAGUCGUAACA
rnacentral:rRNA from 1 species